GACGUUGCCACAGCUCUUCUGGAAUAACUGACUUAAAACCACUUUUUAGCUGGUAAAAAUACUAAUGUAAUUUUACAAUUACUCAUAUAUGUUUAUAUUUAUUAAUUAAUCAUACGAAGCCUAUUAAAGAAGCCAAAAUGUAUUGCAUAAUUCUCACUGAAUAGCCCGCCAGUGUAUACAUAUACAGGAUGUGGAUACUGAUGCAGAACUAAAGGGAGAUGCUGCGGGACAACAUGAUCACUAUGUGAGUCAAAUUCUUUGUAAUUAGAUCAAAUUGACCACUGGGUGUCAUAAUUUUAGAAAAGUUUGUUUGACGUUACUUGAAGAUGGUCUCAGUUUAUAUUAUUUAGUGUAAACAAGUAGGCUAGUGUUUUGUGUGCAUCUUUGUACAAAUAUAGCUAAUAUAUAUUCUGUAUUGUGCAUGAUAAGCUAGGCAAUAUGUGUUUUACCAGCAGUUUUGUUUCUGUUCUACUGUUGUUUUCUAUGCCUGUUUGUCAUUCAUGAAAUCCAAACACAUUCAAUGCCAUUUUUUCUAAUUUAAGGGGGAAAAAAGAAUAAAGAAUAUAAUAAAGAAAAUGAUUUUCAGAGAAAAUUAACUCAGCAAAAUUGUCAUCCUGGCCCCUCAGGUGUCAAUUAUAUCAGACCUUUCUGGAAAAUCACUUCUUAGAUUUUGCCACCAUGUUGUCAUGGAAAGUAUCUGACUAAACUCUAACUGUUUGGAGCCUGACGUCUCAUUUAACCUGUCCUGACACCUCCUGGAGCCAGGACUAACCACAACCCACAAGAUGGAUGGAUGAAUAAAUGAAUACAUGGAUUAGAGGAUGAAUGUGUUUCCCAUUCUCUUCCAUGUGGAUGACUCCGAACAAAAGGAGGUUCUUUUCUCUUCAUUAAGUUAAUGGAUGUACGGCUGAUGUACCUGAGCAGCAGGUAAGACAUGCACAGAUUUCAGAGCCUGAGGGGCUAAAUCAAUCUCCACACACAUGGACUCACCGGCUCCUUCCUUGUUUGUCUUUGGUCUUAUGUGACAUCUCUUUAUUACUGCUGGAUGCAGUUGGUGCUAUAGAGACAGCCCCAUGUGUUUUAGGUGGGGUUGGCAGCGCCAUUUCUAAUAAAUUACAGAUUUGUGCAAGUUCAGUGUCAGAGGAACUUCAGGAGAGGUGAUAUCAGGACUGGAAGUGAGAUUUCUCGCUGAUUCUGGAGAGUUUAGCUGUGCUGCAUCUGUCAUCCAGAUCCACAGUCACUGGAACCAGCAAUGGCUCCUCUGAGGUCUGGAGCACAGGGACUGUCUCCUGUAACUCUGUGCUGUGUGACACUGGCUGUUUGGCUGUGUUGUAGCGCUCAAACUGAGGCUUCUGUGCUCAACCUGAAGCGUUUCAUCGGCUGUGCAGUCAGAGAAUUUACCUUUCUGGCCCGUAAGCCGGGAUGCAGUGGGCUGCACAUCACCACUGAUGCCUGCUGGGGACGCUGUGAGACCUGGGAAGUAAGACUGAUAUUAUUAGCCUGUGACAAACAUAUACUCACAUAAAAAGAGAGAAGAGCUUUUGCAGCACACCAGCAAUGUGAUCAAUACUUAAUCAAAAUGAUAU